GGAGCUUGCUCCACCGGAAAAAGAAGAGUGGCGAACGGGUGAGUAACACGUGGGUAACCUGCCCAUCAGAAGGGGAUAACACUUGGAAACAGGUGCUAAUACCGUAUAACAAUCGAAACCGCAUGGUUUUGAUUUGAAAGGCGCUUUCGGGUGUCGCUGAUGGAUGGACCCGCGGUGCAUUAGCUAGUUGGUGAGGUAACGGCUCACCAAGGCCACGAUGCAUAGCCGACCUGAGAGGGUGAUCGGCCACAUUGGGACUGAGACACGGCCCAAACUCCUACGGGAGGCAGCAGUAGGGAAUCUUCGGCAAUGGACGAAAGUCUGACCGAGCAACGCCGCGUGAGUGAAGAAGGUUUUCGGAUCGUAAAACUCUGUUGUUAGAGAAGAACAAGGAUGAGAGUAACUGUUCAUCCCUUGACGGUAUCUAACCAGAAAGCCACGGCUAACUACGUGCCAGCAGCCGCGGUAAUACGUAGGUGGCAAGCGUUGUCCGGAUUUAUUGGGCGUAAAGCGAGCGCAGGCGGUUUCUUAAGUCUGAUGUGAAAGCCCCCGGCUCAACCGGGGAGGGUCAUUGGAAACUGGGAGACUUGAGUGCAGAAGAGGAGAGUGGAAUUCCAUGUGUAGCGGUGAAAUGCGUAGAUAUAUGGAGGAACACCAGUGGCGAAGGCGGCUCUCUGGUCUGUAACUGACGCUGAGGCUCGAAAGCGUGGGGAGCAAACAGGAUUAGAUACCCUGGUAGUCCACGCCGUAAACGAUGAGUGCUAAGUGUUGGAGGGUUUCCGCCCUUCAGUGCUGCAGCUAACGCAUUAAGCACUCCGCCUGGGGAGUACGACCGCAAGGUUGAAACUCAAAGGAAUUGACGGGGGCCCGCACAAGCGGUGGAGCAUGUGGUUUAAUUCGAAGCAACGCGAAGAACCUUACCAGGUCUUGACAUCCUUUGACCACUCUAGAGAUAGAGCUUCCCCUUCGGGGGCAAAGUGACAGGUGGUGCAUGGUUGUCGUCAGCUCGUGUCGUGAGAUGUUGGGUUAAGUCCCGCAACGAGCGCAACCCUUAUUGUUAGUUGCCAUCAUUUAGUUGGGCACUCUAGCAAGACUGCCGGUGACAAACCGGAGGAAGGUGGGGAUGACGUCAAAUCAUCAUGCCCCUUAUGACCUGGGCUACACACGUGCUACAAUGGGAAGUACAACGAGUCGCGAAGUCGCGAGGCUAAGCUAAUCUCUUAAAGCUUCUCUCAGUUCGGAUUGUAGGCUGCAACUCGCCUACAUGAAGCCGGAAUCGCUAGUAAUCGCGGAUCAGCACGCCGCGGUGAAUACGUUCCCGGGCCUUGUACACACCGCCCGUCACACCACGAGAGUUUGUAACACCCGAAGUCGGUGAGGUACCUUUGAGCC
rnacentral:rRNA from 1 species